GGCCCCCUGGACAAGACUGACGCUCAGGUGCGAAAGCGUGGGGAGCAAACAGGAUUAGAUACCUGGUAGUCACGCUGUAAACGAUGUCGAUUUGGAGGUUGUUCCCUUGAGGAGUGGCUUCCGGAGCUAACGCGUUAAAUCGACCGCCUGGGGAGUACGGCCGCAAGGUUAAAACUCAAAUGAAUUGACGGGGGCCCGCACAAGCGGUGGAGCAUGUGGUUUAAUUCGAUGCAACGCGAAGAACCUUACCUACUCUUGACAUCCAGAGAAUUUAGCAGAGAUGCUUUAGUGCCUUCGGGAACUCUGAGACAGGUGCUGCAUGGCUGUCGUCAGCUCGUGUUGUGAAAUGUUGGGUUAAGUCCCGCAACGAGCGCAACCCUUAUCCUUUGUUGCCAGCACAUUAUGGUGGGAACUCAAAGGAGACUGCCGGUGAUAAACCGGAGGAAGGUGGGGAUGACGUCAAGUCAUCAUGGCCCUUACGAGUAGGGCUACACACGUGCUACAAUGGCGUAUACAAAGAGAAGCGACCUCGCGAGAGCAAGCGGAACUCAUAAAGUACGUCGUAGUCCGGAUUGGAGUCUGCAACUCGACUCCAUGAAGUCGGAAUCGCUAGUAAUCGUAGAUCAGAAUGCUACGGUGAAUACGUUCCCGGGCCUUGUACACACCGCCCGUCACACCAUGGGAGUGGGUUGCAAAAGAAGUAGGUAGCUUAACCUUCGGGAGGGCGCUUACCACUUUGUGAUUCAUGACUGGGGUGAAGUCGUAACAAGGUAACCA
rnacentral:rRNA from 1 species